rnacentral:lncRNA from 10 species
CAGCCUGGGUGACAGACUGAAACUCGAUCUCAAAAAAAAAAAAAAAACAUAGCUUGUCUAACACAGUGUGAUGGUUAAUAUUGAGCGCCAAUUUGAUUGGAUUGAAGGAUGCAAAGUAUUGUUCCUGGGUGCAUCUGCAAGGGUGCUGUCAAAGGAGAUGAACAUCUGAGUCAGUGGACUGAGAAAGGAAGGCCUACCCUCAAUCUGGGUGGACACAAUCUAAUCAGCUGCCAGCAUGGCCAGAAUAAAAGCAGGCAGAGGAAUGUGGAAAGAGUAGACUGGCUGGGUCUUCUGGCCUCCAUCUUUCUCCCGUGCCGGAUGCUUCCUGCCUUUGAACAUUGGACUCCAGGUUCUUCAGCUUUGGGACUCUUGGAUCUUAGACCACAGACUGAAGGCUGCACUGUUGGCUUCCCUACUUUUGAGGUUUUGGGACUCGUACUGGGUAUCUUGCUACUUAGCUUUGCAGACGGCUUAUUAUGGGACCUCACCUUGUGAUCGUAUUUACAGACGAGCAACUGAGAUGCAGACAGAUUGAGGAAAUCUCUCAAAGUCACACCGUGAGUUAAAUGGUGGAUCUGAAGUUUAAUUGGAGGCUUAUUGCCUCCUGUGUUUAUCAUCUUGCCACUCUGCACUACUGAUUUUUCUAGAAGAACAUGGUCUUAAUUCUCCAGCAGAUGUUUGUCUAAGCACUCACUAUGAGAAGGCAGGGAGCUGAGUCAGUCCAGAAGCUACUGUUGAGGCAAACAUUCAGAUAUCUGACCUCUGGGGCUCCUGGAUGCCACUGUUCAGAGAAGAUGCCCAGAUCAAUACCAUCUUCAAGUCACUGACUCAUAAAACUUAAAGCUGAUCAAGCUCCUUCCUCUCAUUUUAAGG